rnacentral:rRNA from 1 species
GUCCGGAAUCCCGAAGAGAUUUGGGAGUGCUCGCAAGAGAACCGGAACACAGGUGCUGCAUGGCUGUCGUCAGCUCGUGUCGUGAGAUGUUGGGUUAAGUCCCGCAACGAGCGCAACCCUUGUCAUUAGUUGCCAUCAUUGGUUGGGCACUCUAAUGAGACUGCCGGUGACAAACCGGAGGAAGGUGGGGAUGACGUCAAGUCCUCAUGGCCCUUAUGGGUAGGGCUUCACACGUCAUACAAUGGUCGGUACAGAGGGUUGCCAACCCGCGAGGGGGAGCUAAUCCCACAAAGCCGAUCGUAGUCCGGAUCGCAGUCUGCAACUCGACUGCGUGAAGUCGGAAUCGCUAGUAAUCGUGGAUCAGCAUGUCACGGUGAAUACGUUCCCGGGUCUU